GUCCAGUCAGCCAGCCAGGCUAUAGGACAGCUGCUCUUGCUGCUGCUGUUGACGUUGUUCUCAGAAUCUCUGGCUGUACUGUAAACACAGCAGCAUAGAUCUGUAGAGUAACUAGUGCAGUGCCUAGAGGUGCUCUGUGUGAGGCUGUCUGUUUACCUCCGUGUCCUCCUCUCUCUCCAUAGCACGUAGACAAGACCGAGAGGCCGGACACACACGCAGAGGGACGGACGCAAGCCUUUUUUUUCUUCCUGAAGACGUCCUUCGACACCAGCAGACUCCCUGCCAGGCCCCCUGCGCCACGCAGACUUGAGCUGGAAACAGAAAAUGUCAGAGGUGGAGGAACUGAAGGACCAGUAACGACAGCUUGGCUUUGCGGAGAGAAGAUAACAGACGCGGUAAGUACAGAAAGUUAUUGGAGAU
rnacentral:lncRNA from 1 species